rnacentral:lncRNA from 1 species
GAGCCCGAGUCAAGUGAAUUUGGAUCAGUGGUUCGAUUGAACCAGAAGAGAACGGCAUCCUCAAAUAAGCACCCGUGCCCUAAAUGGAGCGGUGAAACUGUCUACUUCUCCACAGCCACUGCAACUGCGGCGUGUUCCUUGGCGAAAGCCGGCAGCGGCGGCGGCGGCAUUUUCCUCCGUCGAGCUCUUAUCGCUGCGGCGUUUUCCUCGGCGAACGGUGGAUGCUGCGGCUUCCUCUCCGUCGGCGAACGGUGACAGCGCGCGGUAUCUCUCUCAUAAUCCUUCUCCUCCUCCUCUUCCUCCUUCGCCGUCGCACAAUCCCUUCUCCUCCCUCUUCCCCCGUUUAUCGCAGCCCACCGCCCCCCGCCUCGUCGCAACCCCAUUUCCCCGAUCCCUCCUUCCCCUCCCCCCUUUUCGCCACAGCUCUCCCGCUUCCCCGACACCAUCCUCCUCCCUCCUACCUCUUUCCCCCGUUCAUCGCAGCCCCCCGCCCCUCUUCCUUGGUCCCUCCCCCCUCCUCCACUUCAUCACAGCCCCCGCCCCCCGACGACCCCGGCAGCCACCUUCACCUUCCUCCGACUCCUCCGACCCCAACAGUCCCCUUCUCCAUUUUCCUACUCCGGCUCCGACAGCCCCCUCUCCAUUAUCCUGCUCCGGCCCCGACAAGCCCCCAUCUCCAUUUUCCUACUCCAGCCCCGACAGCCCUCAUCUCCCUCCUCUACACCCCUCUUCGCCUUCUCUAUACAUCUCAACAGCAACUAUUUUUUUUGAUGAAGUGUUUGGUUCAUCAAACCUCUUAGUUUUCUUAUUAUGUUUACUGCAUUGUAGUUUCCUUUUCAAGCACACCAGAAUAACACAAAACCCCAAAUGAUACAAAGGACUCGACUCACCCUAAAGCACAACUUGAGUAAACAACUAGAUUUUGACUUGAUUUCCAAGCCCUAAAAUCUCAAUGUAUUUGGUUAGGUAUAAACUUACACCUUUAUGUCAGAAUAGUUUGUUCUCUGCCGUAGUGCUGAAAGCAACUAUCUUCGCUACUUGAGGCUUGUUCAUACCUCAAGACACAUAGUCAUGCUUAUAUUUGGAUCGUCAAAUCUUGUAUUCGCUGGUUUUGUUAGUGAUUGAAGGAGAUUUUAAUGCUCUUAAUUUAACUACAGAUAUUUUCUUACACAGAGUUCAAAGAUACAAAAGAUCCAUAUGGAUGAUGAUAAAUAGUUUGGACGUCAUGGCUUUUGUUAUCAUUGUGGUCGUUUGCACUUGUUCGUUUUAUUGGCAUAUUCUAACUGAUCUGAACCAAAUUUAUCAUAGGCUCAGAAAGAUUAUUGAAUAUAAGCUAAAUUGGUUGUAUAUAUAUUUUUUAAAUGUCAUGAGAUUCAAGUUAGAUCGUCUUAGUUCUAUCUAACCUAAACACUAGGUGCUUGGCUCUUGCCUAAUCGCUCGGGUAAGGCGAGGCCUGAGCGCCAUGUCGUGCACAUCACGCGGGCGUUUUCACUCGUGCGACGCUUAGGCAAGCACCUGUUCGGCGUUGGGCAGCCCACUGACACGCCUGAGUGGUGUUGCACCAAAAUUGAACCCCUGUUGGGUCCAUUAAGACAAGCAAUUUGAUCCCUACCCUCGUGUGACUCACCUCCUUUGCAAUGUUUCUUCCCCUCUCCUAUUGGAGAGACCUUGGCAUCCUCAGUUCCUACUCCCUAUCGUGCAUAAGUGCAAUAUCUAGGUUUAACAUCCUGCUCCCUACAUUUUAAAAAAUUACAUUGGCAUCCCUAGAUUUACAAAAGUACAAUAUCUAGGUUUAUUUACUCUAACUUGUCAUUUUUACUAACAAAAAUACGAAAAUAAAAGGCAAAAAGAUAAUUUUAAUAUUUCAUUUUGUGGUGGUCGAUGACGUCGGUGGUUGUGGACGGCGAUGUCAUUAGGACCGUGGGUGGCUGUUGUGGGUAAGGGUGCGACGGCGAGAGGUAAGAGCGGCUUUGCAUCUACAUCGGCGUCGAUGUAGUUGGUAAGCAAGAAAAUAGAUUUGAUGUAAAAUUUUAUUGUUUUUAUUUUUGAGAUCUUUUAUUAAUGUGACAUUGUGAUUUUGUACUUGAUUUUCUUAAUUUUCUUAGCAUAAUUUUUAUUUAAAUAUUAUAUUUAUAAAUUAUAUUAUAUAUUUUUAUAUUUUACCGUCUCGUUUUGCUCGGGAGAGCGCCUAGCGUCUCGGGCAUUUUUGGACCUUGGCGCCUAGCGUUUUGUAAAUCACUGGUGACAAUUAAUUUUCAGCCCUCGGAUAUGAGUUGGUUUAGAACUGAACUAAUAAUAUAAAUUUUAACAAUCCCAAAUGUUCAAUGUUGCAUAUCAUGUAUGUGCAUUUACUUUAAAGAAAUAAGAAGUUGCAGAAUGCAAGUUAAAUACUAUUGUUAAGCUAGACAGCAAAAGUACUGCUUUUAGAUAAGAGCAAAGAGAACUGGGGAAGUCUUAAAAAAAUAAAUCGCUGGGAAAAGAUAGAAAAAGAGAUAGCAGAGCCAGUAAUUGGAUCACUGGCCAAAGAAAACUAUAAUUAUUUGUUAAUAGAAUCAUGCACUAGUCUGACUAUUCCUCAUGUGAAGCAUUAUAAUUCAAAAUACAUCUAAGUAGUACCAAUCUGACCAAGUUUCCUAAAAGAAGCUCUCUCAACAGCAACUGCUUAUUUUGAUGAAGUGUUUGGUUCAUCAAACCUCUUAGUUUUCUUAUAAUGUCUACUGCAUUGUGUUUACAGGCCACACAAGAAAAUUUCAACACAAAACCCCAAAUGCUCCAAUGGACCUGACUCACACUAAGGUACAAGUUGAGUAAACAACUAGAAUUUG